UUACUAUAUCUGUCUUUUAGGUGAUGGAGGAUAUGGCUGUUUCUCUUGGCUUCUAACUCCAUUGUCCCGACCUGAUACCCCUGCUGAACACAAUUACAAUCAUGCACAUAAGUCCACGCGGAAUAUGAUAGAAAGAUGUUUUGGUGUGCUGAAAUCUAGGUUUCUGUGUCUGGAUAAGUCUGGUGGCCUUUUGUUGUAUACUCCCUCCAAGGUGACUCAAAUUGUGUUCUGCUGCUGCUUUCUUCAUAACAUGUGUUUGCAACAACAUGUGCCACAUGUUGCGGAGGAGGAGGAGGAGGAAGAAAGCAGCCAGCAAGCAGAGGAAUUAGAGACAUCUGGUGAUACUUGGAGUACUGAUGUAGGGAGGUAGGUUAGGCAAGAGAUCAUCAAUCGCUAUUUCUAAGGAAAAGAGAAUGAUUGGAAUUUAGAAAGAGUAAUGAUUAGAAAAAAAUCAAGUGGUCUGUUUACUUCCUGCUAACAUGUAUGUGUGGCUCCUUCAACAUUUCCCUCCUCCAAUACCCAAAAAAAAUGCACUGUCAUGUUGUCGUGCUCUGGUGGAUCGUCUUGGUGGUGAUGAGACUGGCGUGAUAUUUGGAAUAGUCGUACCAGUACUGCUGCUUGUUUGCUGUUGGUGCAUGCAUCUGAGUGUUUCAUUCAGCAUCUUACACACAAUGUCAUACUGUAUGGAUCAAGUGGACAUACAUAUCUUUACUGGAUGUGGACAAGGCCAUUUAGCUUGGAUUCCAUUUCAGCUUUUACUUACUGCGUUUGAUACUCACAAUCAAGAUGAGGGGAGUGUGGAUGACGUCUUGGAGGUGUGUCCAAAAUUUGGAGUGAGGGUACAGAACAUACGGACGAUAAUCUUCGUGGCCGGGUAGCCUGCUGUGUUUGUGCCGGGACAUACGACCUUGUUUUCUUUUCGGCCACAGGUUUUUUGUGGUGAUGUCUUACAGAAGUGCCACUUCUGCUGCUCCAUACUUCUUUUGAUGGACCUUUUAAUGAAAGUGCAAUUUUGUUAUGGCCAUUCCUUUACAAGCAUACCCUAUACUACAAUGGACACUUUACCUGCUUCCACAGCGUCAUCAUCAUCAGAUGUGAUGGGAGUUACUGGCUGACGAGUAGUACUGCUUUUUUCAAACACUGUAUAAAAUAACAUUUAACAAAAAUUCAUGCUAUUGUGUAUACAUCCACCCAUUAUGCUUAUACACAUUUAUUCUUUUUGAAAUGCUUGGUUUUUAUUUAAAACAAACAUAAGGACCAGAAAUAAAAAAUAAAAUAAAAAUAAAAAAACAUUGCCAAAAACACAUAUGCACUAUGGCAACAUCAACACAGGAAAACAUGUACAGGACACUGACAUAGGCCACAAGUUCAAGAAAAAAACCCAAAAAAAAACACAAAACUUCAUUUUGUAUUGAAAGGAAAAAUAUUACAGAUGCAAUAUAUAAAUUGCUCUGUGAUGUUGCACUCCAAAGACACAUUACCACUAUAUGAGCAAAAACAAAAUGCAGCAAUUUAAAAAAAAAAUUACACUGCAGUGUGGUGUCACGGUACAAAUACAAGCAAAAGAAAAAAAAUAGUUUUUAAAAAUAAAUAAUUAACAUUAUCUAAAGAUGACAUUACACAUGUAAGUGGUUUCCAAACCACUUUCCAGUACUCCAGCCUCUAACAUGACAACCACUAUUUUUAAAACAUUGCACAUCGAUCACUUAAAUAUAAAACAUAGUCACAAUGUUUUUUUUUAAAAACGCACAAAAGGAAAACAUUAUUGCAGGACAAUUCAGAGACACACCAAGUACAAACUACACAUGCAAAAUAUCUGUCUGAAAAACACAUGAUAUACAAUAAAGUAAGAUGUUAUAUUGGCUUUUGUAUAAAACAUUAACCAAAACAAUGUAUUUGCUGACACACACUUGAAGAUGGGAGUAAUAUGCCACGUCACAUGACACACAUUUCAAAAAACAAACAAAAAAAACCUAGAAUGUAAUUGCAAAUACACAUGCUCACCAUUCUUCCUGGGCCUAUCUGAAUCCCGGACAUGGGUUGCAGAGACAACUUCUGGAGGGAUUACACUCCGCAUGGGCUCCUCAUACUCCAGAUAACUUGCAAUAUAGGGCUGGCCACCACCGGUUUUCCGAGCAGACUUGGCCUCCUUGGCCAUUUUGGACUUGACACGUCGCUUUAUGUCAUAGUACCGUUUGCGGCACGUGUCCUCCGUCCGCUUGACCACCCCCUCACUAUUGACAGCAGCAACAACUUUCGCCCACAACACCGUCUUCCUCCGUGUUGGCACCUUGGUGGACUCAGGGCCAAAUAGCUGCCUCUGAUACUUCAUCAGCUCACGCACCAAUGCCACAUAUUCAGCAAAACUAAACUUUACAUUCCGCCCAGUCUUAGUAGUGGUGCGUGGCUGCGGAGCACUCUGACUGUCACUAUCACUUGAGGCUGCUGCAGCAACCUCACCCACCUCCUCCACCUCACUAACCUCACUAACACUCACCUCCUCCACCUGACCAACCUCCUCCCCCUCACUCACACACUCCACCUCACCCACCUCUGAGUCACACAUAAUUGUGUGUCUAAACAGUUAACACAGAAAAAACAAUAGACAAAUAACACACUCCUCCACUACCACUACACAACACACACACACACACACACACACACACACACACACACACACACACACACACACACACUGACAAGGGACUAUAAAGAAAAAUAACUUGGACUAAAAAUGAGACAGAACCACAAAAUACAAGACAACAAGAAUGACAAGACGACUUCCAAACACAAUACCACACUCAGAAAUCGCUACCAACACUCCUCAGCAAACCACAAAUUCACCUACCUCCACAGCACAACCUCCCUCCUCCUCACCACUAACUUAACCCACGAGGUGCGGACGGUUUGGGGCGUAUUUAUAUGGUUGCGCACAGACACUCCUACCAUCUGAAACACAACCAAUCACGGACGGGGAUGAAAAUCGAAACUGAAAGUGAAAAUGCGGCCGCUGGAAAAAAAAAACCCUGCCGCGUUUAACUUAGGAAAAAAACCAACAAAUACUACAAAAACACGUACGCAAACGACAAUGACGGCCGUAAAUGUGCCAAAAAAAAACGACUGGCAUCGACAUCGGAAAACACGACAACCAUAAAGUCGACGGCUUCGUAACUUUGCGUAUAUGGAUUCAAAAAGUUGCAUGAAAAUGCACCCGAUACAAAACGAGUUUAAACACUACACAAACUGACUCAAACACGAAUAUUAGUAAAUAUUGCCCUAUGUGUUAAAGUGUUACAUAGGGGAGAGGUAUUAAUUAAAAUACUAAAAAGUGUUAUAGUAGUAAAACAUUAACUCUUGCUAAUGCCUUAUCCUCUCACUAAAGUGCUGCCCUGGGGGUGGCUGGCCUUGCCGGCUUGGUGGGAUUCCGCUCCUCGAACUCAAAUUUAGUAUUGGUGACCCACCAGAGACAAGGUCACAUGGACGCUAGUUGGUAGGCUUGUAUUUUUUGGCCAAGGUCCUCUAUUUUGUUCUGUGUUAGAUUGCUGAGUAUAAUACAAUUAUUCAGAUUAGCAGUGCUUAGUACUGUAAAGUGUGCAUCUGCAUUAUAUUGUUUCUACGUAAUAAUGCAAGGUAGUUGGUAUAUACUUGUAUAGUACUGGAAGAAAAACAGAGAGACUGUU